CUCUUUUACUCUAUCGCUCACUCAAUCUCUCUCUCUCUCUCUCUCUCUAUCGCUCUCUCUCAUAGCUCUUUGCGGUCAUGGCUAUUAAUCAAUUUCAAAACCUUUUCUAUUUUUCUAUUAUUUUCUAGGCAACCAAACAAAGUUCCUGACUAGGUUUUUUUUUUUUUUUUUGAUUUCCUCAUCAAGAUCAUCGCCAUCGAAUUGAUUUCACCGUCUCGCUCCUCCUUCAGCAAUUCACCGUUCUCCAAUUUCGUUAUAUGGUGGAGAAGAAUAGGAAACUUCAGAACCAGUUUGAAGCCGAAGCUUCGACUUCUUCUCAUGGCGGUUCGGGUUCUGUGAAGCCUAUAUUCGAUGGGGUUUCCAUCUUUGUCGAUGGUUUCACGGUUCCUUCCAGUCAGCCUCAGUACUCACUUUGAAGUCUGAACUGAUCUUCCUUCCCUUUUUGUCAUCCCAUCAGGAUCACAUAUUGUCUUAGAGAAUCCUACGAAGAAGAUGUUGUUGAUGCCAGUAGAACCUUGAGACGGUGUGAAGUUAGUGAUGAUCUUGAUAAAGGCAUGUAGCAAAUUAUGCAGCAAACCUUGAGAAGAUUGUCAUACAAGCCGGCUUACUCAAAGAAGGUUUAUGUUCUGUUCAGGAUGAGAGUGCAGGUCAUUUUAUCCUAACUUUAAUUUGGAUGCGAGUCAAAUUAUGGCUUCCACUAAAAAAGGAAGUGGAUUUUCAUAAAUAUAUCUUUCCCUGACAUGUUGUGGCCAAUAUGAUGGAUCUGGUCAAAGUUCUUCCUUAUCCAUUGUCUUUGUACAGUUUUUUUAUUGUGUUAAAAGAGUAGUUGAUUGGUUGUUGUAAAUUUAAUUAGGAAUUCCACAAUUGUGUUUACAUUAUAUUUUGAAUUAGGUUAUUAAAUUUUGAUCAAUGUAAAAAGUGCA